CACGUAGGGCGCAAGCGUUGUUCGGAAUCAUUGGGCGUAAAGCGCGUGUAGGCGGCUUGGCAAGUCGGUUGUGAAAGCCCGGGGCCCAACCCCGGAAUUGCAUCUGAAACUGCCUCGCUAGAGUCCCGGAGAGGAAGGCAGAAUUCCCGGUGUAGGGGUGAAAUCCGUAGAUAUCGGGAGGAAUACCAGCGGCGAAGGCGGCCUUCUGGACGGUGACUGACGCUGAGACGCGAAAGCGUGGGGAGCAAACAGG
rnacentral:rRNA from 1 species